UCCAGUUUAUCACAAGCGGUGGAUUAUGUGGAUUAAUUCGAUGCAACGCGAAAAACCUUACCUACCCUUGACAUGUGCGGAACGGGGUAGAGAUACCUCGGUGCCCGAAAGGGAACCGCAACACAGGUGCUGCAUGGCUGUCGUCAGCUCGUGUCGUGAGAUGUUGGGUUAAGUCCCGCAACGAGCGCAACCCUUGCCAUUAGUUGCUACAUUCAGUUGGGCACUCUAGUGGGACUGCCGGUGACAAACCGGAGGAAGGUGGGGAUGACGUUUCCAGGUUAGG
rnacentral:misc_RNA from 1 species